rnacentral:rRNA from 1 species
ACGGGUGAGUAACGCGUGGGAACAUACCUUUUGGUUCGGAACAACACAGGGAAACUUGUGCUAAUACCGGAUAAGCCCUUACGGGGAAAGAUUUAUCGCCGAAAGAUUGGCCCGCGUCUGAUUAGCUAGUUGGUAGGGUAACGGCCUACCAAGGCGACGAUCAGUAGCUGGUCUGAGAGGAUGAUCAGCCACAUUGGGACUGAGACACGGCCCAAACUCCUACGGGAGGCAGCAGUGGGGAAUAUUGGACAAUGGGGGCAACCCUGAUCCAGCCAUGCCGCGUGAGUGAUGAAGGCCCUAGGGUUGUAAAGCUCUUUUGUGCGGGAAGAUAAUGACGGUACCGCAAGAAUAAGCCCCGGCUAACUUCGUGCCAGCAGCCGCGGUAAUACGAAGGGGGCUAGCGUUGCUCGGAAUCACUGGGCGUAAAGGGUGCGUAGGCGGGUUUUUAAGUCAGGGGUGAAAUCCUGGAGCUCAACUCCAGAACUGCCUUUGAUACUGAAGAUCUUGAGUCCGGGAGAGGUGAGUGGAACUGCGAGUGUAGAGGUGAAAUUCGUAGA